rnacentral:rRNA from 1 species
CUCCUACGGGAGCAGCAGUAGGGAAUUUUCCACAAUGGGCGAAAGCCUGAUGGAGCAACGCCGCGUGCAGGAUGAAGGCCUUCGGGUCGUAAACUGCUUUUAUCUGUGAUGAUUAUGACAGUAACAGAAGAAUAAGGGUCUGCUAACUACGUGCCAGCCGCCGCGGUAAUAC